rfam:Myotis lucifugus cont2.22449, whole genome shotgun sequence.
ACAAGCCAAGAGACAAAAAAGGGAAAAGUGUGACUGCUCUGACAGCAAAAACAAGCAAAUAUCUCCAGAGGGGAUUAGUCUCCCUGCUUCAAAGUAACCAAAACAAAGAGAGCUGAGCCUGCUUCCCAGGGAAUAACACCUGUCCAUCAGACAAGGAUGAGCUAAU